GGGCGUGGAGAAGAGAGGAGAGGAAGUAGAAAAGAAGGGGCCAGAGACACCCAGAGCUGGAGUGGCAGAACUGGACUCCCUGAUCUCUCUCCUCAUGGCAGUGACCCAUCGCCAGCCCCCUGGACAAUCGGGUACAAGAGAAAAGGUAACAUUAAAGAGUCAAGACAGGACCAGACGGUGGAGUGGCUGACCUGUAUUUGACAAAUCCCUGGCUU
ensembl:lncRNA